rnacentral:rRNA from 1 species
AUUGAACGCUAGCGGCAUGCUUAACACAUGCAAGUCGAACGGUAACAGGUCUAGCUUGCUAGAUGCUGACGAGUGGCGGACGGGUGAGUAACGCGUAGGAAUCUACCUUGAAGUGGGGGAUAACCUGGGGAAACUCAGGCUAAUACCGCAUAGACCCGCGAGGGUAAAGCAGGGGACCGUAAGGCCUUGUGCUUUAAGAUGAGCCUGCGUCGGAUUAGCUAGUUGGUGGGGUAAAGGCCUACCAAGGCGAAGAUCCGUAGCUGGUCUGAGAGGACGACCAGCCACACUGGGACUGAGACACGGCCCAGACUCCUACGGGAGGCAGCAGUGGGGAAUAUUGGACAAUGGGCGCAAGCCUGAUCCAGCAAUGCCGCGUGUGUGAAGAAGGCCUGCGGGUUGUAAAGCACUUUCAGUUGGGAGGAAGGACUUUACGUGAAUAACGUAGAGUAUUGACGUUACCGACAGAAGAAGCACCGGCUAACUCUGUGCCAGCAGCCGCAGUAAAAC